CUAACCAUUAGACAUCUAUGAUGCCUCAGGUCAAAUGACUACUUUGCAUAUUGCAACCUUAGAGUUCAUACAUGACAUGUAUGUUCGAACUCUCUUUUGAUCGUAGUUCAGUGUACUCGAGUACUCUUUUGAGCACCUAUGUGUUUGUCUUAGUGUCCAACACCAAAUGACUUGAGACUAGUUAUACUCACAAUUGAGUCAACAUAACACAUACUAGCCUUUGCGGAUUGUCAAUGCCCAAUUAGCAAUCCUAUGGCUAGGAACGUUUUAGGAAUGAACAUAAGAGAAAGGUCUCGAUAAUCUAACUCAUUAGAUCACUUAUCUCUUAGAACAAAUACAUUCCUUGGAUUCCCUUAUUGCUUAAACACAUGAUACAAUAAAUAGUGAUUAACAAUAAGAUUUGCCCUCCAUUAAACAUAUAAUAGUUUAACACAAUAAGUAUUCCAAAAAGCUAUUACAUCAAAUGAGUGGCUUUAUGGGCAUACUUCCAACAUUUACAACGAUUGUAAAACAUACUUACUAAUACGGAAUCAAGCAUUCAAGUAAAAGAACCAACUGUUUUGAACUAUUCAAGAACAAUUUACAACACCUUCGAAAGGUGUGUUCUUGACACUUGCAAGACAUUUCUUGCAAAUACCCUUCCAAUGUCCAUCCUUUCAUAAAGAAAGUUUGUUCCCUCAGAGUUAUUUCACCUUCUUCAUUUGACUUCUCCUUUGACUACAAUAGUCAUGGUCCCUAAACUCCCACUAUCUCUC
rnacentral:lncRNA from 1 species